UACGUAGGGCGCAAGCGUUAUCCGGAAUUAUUGGGCGUAAAGAGCUCGUAGGCGGUUUGUCGCGUCUGCCGUGAAAGUCCGGGGCUCAACUCCGGAUCUGCGGUGGGUACGGGCAGACUAGAGUGAUGUAGGGGAGACUGGAAUUCCUGGUGUAGCGGUGAAAUGCGCAGAUAUCGGGAGGAACACCGGUGGCGAAGGCGGUUCUCUGGGCCGUAACUGACGCUGAGGAGCGAAAGCGUGGGGAGCGAACAGG
rnacentral:rRNA from 1 species